UACGAAGGGGGCUAGCGUUGUUCGGAUUUACUGGGCGUAAAGCGCACGUAGGCGGAUCGUUAAGUCGGGGGUGAAAUCCUGGAGCUCAACUCCAGAACUGCCUUCGAUACUGGCGAUCUUGAGUCCGGAAGAGGUGAGUGGAACUCCUAGUGUAGAGGUGGAAUUCGUAGAUAUUAGGAAGAACACCAGUGGCGAAGGCGGCUCACUGGUCCGGGUACUGACGCUGAGGCACGAAAGCGUGGGGAUCAAACAGG
rnacentral:rRNA from 1 species